AUCAUCUACGUGGAUUUACAGUCUCGUCCCUGCUGCGACGGCGGCUGCAACUUCAAAUACAGUGUCCGCUCAGGCAGGGCGAACGAUGGUUAUGAUACCACAGCCGAGGGCUGGACUUUCGGUUUGGAUUUAAGGAUUCUGAUUGAGAAUCGAGCUCAGCAAAAGGACUAUCUUCACUAUAACCACACUGAUCGCUGCAGAAAUGGGAGAUGGACUGCCAGUUCUUCAUCUACAGAUAGGUCAUGAUCAUUAAUGAUGCCGAAACUCCAUUGAUUUACUACAUAGCAGAGUUAAACAGAGUUUCAGUUAAAGAUGGGACUGGGAGGUGGGCUAGGGCAACAUUUAAGAUUGUUCUUUCCUUCCAUGAGGUUUCUUUUUAUGGGUGGCAAAAGCAGCCAGGCUUGAAUACUGUUCAGGGCUUGGUAUAAAGAUCUCUAGGGAAGUUUGUAGAUGAGAAGAAAGCUCAGCUGCUGAAAGAUAGAUGCUUACCAACAGUAGGAUGUGCUGUGGGUUGCUUGCUGGGCGCACUGACAAAGGGGUGACGACACGGUUUAUUCUGUAUGUUGGCUUCUUAAUCUCUGUUGACAUGAAUUUUUGCUUGGAUAUUGAAUUUCAUUACUCUUCCUUGAUUUUCUUAGAUUCAAUCUCAGCUUAAAAAUGAACUCAUAUGUUAGAAUAAAUUUUAUCUUAUAUAUUAUUUAUUGACAUCUUUAAUAGUUGUGAUGAAUAGACAUCAUAUCCGUUUUCUGAAAUCCACUUUUGUUGUGCUUCACUAAAUCACUCAAAUAGUCAAAUAGUUGACUUUGUCCCGACUGCUCUAUGCCCAAAGUGUUGGAAGGGUAUGUCAAAUAACUUGUGAGAAUGAUGAGGACCUUGUGUCGCCUGAUAAGCCUCAAACGUUUAGUGUAAGGAGGGCCAACCAACUACUUAGGAAACGAGAAGGAAGGUUAUUGUCGUACAAGAUGUUUGCACGUGACACCAAAGCAUCAUGAAAUGAGUGAGAAUCAUGAAUUUUACCAAUUAUUGCCCCUUUUUUGGAAGUUAUUCUAGCUUCUAGUUUAAGUAUCAUAAUUCUUUUUCUUUUUGGUUUAAUUCUAUUUAUUACUUUCUUCACAUAAAGACAUUUCUUCUUAUUCUGUUUUUGUUUUAAUUCUAUUGAGCCAAUAUGAAGUUUAUGUUGCAUUAUAGGAAUUAUUGUAAGAGAGGUUGGAGUUUUGAUUCAAACUAUAUUCAGCCAAUUAGUGUACUAUUGACAGGACCAAGGAGUAGGAAGAUGUGUUUAUGUGUGUUGAGCUGUUUGAUUGCUAAUUGCUUCUUACUGAAGGUAUCGUCUCCGGGGUUGCCUAUGCUGAAGACUAUAUUUACCGAACGUAAAAUUGGUCUAAUUAGAUUUGGGUAAUCUGUUCUCCAACUGCUUAAAAUGGAGGGUUAAGAUCUUAUACAUCUGCAAGGGAAUCUCCCUUCCGUUUGAGCAAAUGGUGAUACAUCCAUUAGGCCGUAAAUGGCUCUUUCACGUUUACAUGACACUAAUUAUUAUAUCUUCUGUGGAAUCCUUGUCCUUCAGCAGUUCAGCCAAUUAUAAUGGAACGUAAUGUAAGGAUGACCUUGCAGAUGGUACCGGUGCUUGUUGCGACAGCAAUUAGAGAGGCAGUU